UACGAAGGGGGCUAGCGUUGUUGGGAAUUAUUGGGCGUAAAGGGAGCGUAGGCGGACAUUUAAGUCAGGGGUGAAAUCCCGGGGCUCAACCUCGGAAUUGCCUUUGAUACUGGGUGUCUUGAGUGUGAGAGAGGUAUGUGGAAUUCCGAGGGUAGAGGUGAAAUUCGUAGAUAUUCGGAAGAACACCAGUGGCGAAGGCGACAUACUGGCUCAUUACUGACGCUGAGGCUCGAAAGCGUGGGGAGCAAACAGGAUUAGAUACCCUGGUAGUCCACGCCGUAAACGAUGAUUGCUAGUUGUCGGGAUGCAUGCAUUUCGGUGACGCAGCUAACGCAUUAAGCAAUCCGCCUGGGGAGUACGGUCGCAAGAUUAAAACUC
rnacentral:rRNA from 1 species